AGGAAGUGUGAAUGACUGAGUGGCGGACGGGUGAGUAACGCGUGGGCAACCUGCCCCGUACCGGGGGAUAACAGCCGGAAACGGCUGCUAAUACCGCAUAUGCUUUGCGGGCCGCAUGGCCCGCAAAGCAAAACUCCGGUGGUACGGGAUGGGCCCGCGUCUGAUUAGCUGGUUGGCGGGGUAACGGCCCACCAAGGCGACGAUCAGUAGCCGGCCUGAGAGGGCGGCCGGCCACAUUGGGACUGAGACACGGCCCAGACUCCUGCGGGAGGCAGCAGUGGGGAAUAUUGCACAAUGGGGGAAACCCUGAUGCAGCGACGCCGCGUGGGCGAGGAAGUACCUCGGUAUGUAAAGCCCUAUCAGCAGGGAAGAAACAGGACAGUACCUGACUAAGAAGCCCCGGCUAACUACGUGCCAGCAGCCGCGGUAAUACGUAGGGGGCAAGCGUUAUCCGGAUUCACUGGGCGUAAAGGGAGCGCAGGCGGCAUGGCAAGUCUGAUGUGAAAACCCGGGGCCCAACCCCGGGAGUGCAUUGGAAACUGCCAGGCUGGAGUGUCGGAGGGGUAAGCGGAAUUCCUAGUGUAGCGGUGAAAUGCGUAGAUAUU
rnacentral:rRNA from 1 species